UCUCCUACAUCUCCCAGACGUGCAGAACCAUCUAGGGCAAAAACCACACGCGCACAUGCCACCGUCGCCGCCGCCGCCCAUCCUCUCCCCCCGGCCCUCCAUCUCCAGCCAAGUCCUCUCUUCCGUGCUAGAGGCCACCCCCGAUCUGAUGCAUCACCGUGGGAUGAGUCAUGGCGACGGUGACGGCGGACGGCGUGCUGUCGGGCUACCUAGUGGGGGUGGCAAUGCUUGACCGCACAUGGCGGGGCGCGCGUCCUGUGCUUGCGACAGCUGCUGAUGGUAGAGCAGAAGACUUGCAGGGGUAACCAUCUGCAAGCUCAACAUGAUCGUUCACAUGACCGUCGCCGUCGCGAGAUUUGUUAUCAAGUUGCAUACCUGCAUAUACAGUAGUGAACCACACACGUGAAUGGGAGAGGAGGGGAAGAAGAGGAUGCAUCCUGAAGACAUAGGUCAAGAAGCUUGCGGAGGCAGGAAGAUCGGGUACAAGGUGAGAAUCUCUAUAAACCCAUGUUUGCUGUUGUCUUGGCAGGCCUUGCCCCUCACUGCUCCAUCACCAGAGCCUCCAUCUUCCUAGAUCCCACUGUUCCGUGAUGAACAUAUCCCUUGCCACCGAACGCUCCAGUUGUGGUACACUCACAAUUCCAAAUGAUAGGGAUAUCACAAUUGCAAGCUUGACGGAUUAACUCCUUGGUGUACAUAAAGGCAAGGGACGUAGUUAGUUGUCUUCCAAAUUCUGACGGUUACUCUGGGUUUCAAGGCUUGUUUAGUGUGGCAUAUGGUGCUCCUAAGUCAUGCAAUGGAUGCACAAUAUGUAUCAUUCUGUACUGGAUUGCAGAGAUUUUAGAAGUAAUUAUUUGAUGGAUUGGCUUUUGAGACUUUGUUUCUAUAUCAUCUUCUAGAUAGCCAAACUGAAUCGCUCCGUAGACUAGCAGAUCCACUAAAUUGGUGCAGUGGAUGCUAAUUUCCAAGGCAACACCAAUAUGAGCAUAAGGACCAUCAAAUGUAUCAUGUAUGAUUUGUUCAAGGAAUACUAGAUUAUCCUCCCCGCAGAAAGGACUAUCAGAGGUUUCAUGUUGCAUUGCUUCUAGAUGGCAAGUCCGACCAAUUGUUGAGAUUUAUGUGAAUAACCAUUCUGGUAAGAAGUUCACGCAGAGUGUGACAAAAGGGUUGGGUCAAAAUAAAGUACAUGUAUUACUAAAAUCCAUCCGUCUCAUCUCAUGCAUGCAUAACCAGGUCGAUGGUAAUUUGUCUACUACUCUACUUACUGCAGUUCACGAUAAUUUGUCUACUACUCUACUUAAGCUUGAGGGUGAAGUAGAUGAUAAGUUGCAUUAUUAACCAAGUUCAUCUUGGUCAUAAGCCCGAGAUUUUCAUACACCAUAGAAGCUGUAGAAGUCUUUGAGAUGAUCAGUCCAUGGCUUACAUUGCUGGUGCAAGAGGGCGAGGCAGUGGCAGGGGUACUCAGUGUGUUUAGAUCUUGAACCAGUUUGGGCUUGCCCAUCUGACUGCUGGCAAUCUUCUUUGCGAAGAAGUCAAAUCUGAGCAAGGGUAACAAUCUGCUCUCUGUUUCUGUAUAGAUAUCUUUCUAAUGUCAGCCUGUUUCAGGUAGUACAAUGAUCAAGAAACUCAUGCAUGAAGGAAAUCACGCGCCUUUUGAGAUCAUCAUCAGGCUACUACUAUACCACAAUACCCACCACUAAGUUCGGCUGUUCCAUUUCGCUACAGGAAUUUUCAACUAAUGCAGCGGAUGCGUUACUAUAUUGAUAACUGAGCUUGCAUAGCAACACUUUAGACCAAUCCAUGAAAUUGUUCUCUUAUCAAUACCAUACAUUUUAUUGUCUUACUAAUUAAUGUUGCAAUUAAUUCAUAUUACAAUACAUAACAUCCUCUCCA